rnacentral:rRNA from 1 species
CAGCAGCCGCGGUAAUACGUAGGGGGCGAGCGUUGUCCGGAAUUACUGGGCGUAAAGGGUACGCAGGCGGCCUGAUAAGUCAGCUGUGAAAUACCACGGCUUAACCGUGGGGGUGCAGUUGAAACUGUUGGGCUUGAGUGCAGGAGAGGAAAGCGGAAUUCCUAGUGUAGCGGUGAAAUGCGUAGAGAUUAGGAGGAACACCAGUGGCGAAGGCGGCUUUCUGGACUGUAACUGACGCUGAGGUACGAAAGCGUGGGUAGCGAACAGGAUUAGAUACCCUGGUAGUCCACGCCGUAAACGAUGGAUACUAGGUGUAGGAGGUAUCGACCCCUUCUGUGCCGUAGUUAACGCACUAAGUAUCCCGCCUGGGGAGUACGUGCACAAGCAUGAAACUCAAAGGAAUUGACGGGGACCCGCACAAGCAGCGGAGCAUGUGGUUUAAUUCGAAGCAACGCGAAGAACCUUACCAGGGCUUGACAUCCCGAUGACCGGUAUAGAGAUAUACCUUCUCUUCGGAGCAUUGGAGACAGGAGGUGCAUGGCC